AAUAUUGGACAAUGGGCGAAAGCCUGAUCCAGCCAUGCCGCGUGUGUGAAGAAGGUCUUCGGAUUGUAAAGCACUUUAAGUUGGGAGGAAGGGCAGUAAGUUAAUACCUUGCUGUUUUGACGUUACCGACAGAAUAAGCACCGGCUAACUUCGUGCCAGCAGCCGCGGUAAUACGAAGGGUGCAAGCGUUAAUCGGAAUUACUGGGCGUAAAGCGCGCGUAGGUGGUUUGUUAAGUUGGAAGUGAAAGCCCCGGGCUCAACCUGGGAACUGCUUUCAAAACUGGCAAGCUAGAGUAUGGUAGAGGGUAGUGGAAUUUCCUGUGUAGCGGUGAAAUGCGUAGAUAUAGGAAGGAACAUCAGUGGCGAAGGCGGCACGCUGGGCCUGGCCUGACGCUCAGACGCGAAAGCAUGGGGAGCGAACGGG
rnacentral:rRNA from 1 species